rnacentral:rRNA from 1 species
GAUGAACGCUCGCGGGAGGCCUAACACAUGCAAGCCGAGCGGUAUUGUUUCUUCGGAAAUGAGAGAGCGGCGUACGGGUGCGUAACACGUGUGCAACCUGCCUUUAUCUGGGGGAUAGCCUUUCGAAAGGAAGAUUAAUACUCCAUAAUAUAUUGAACGGCAUCGUUUAAUAUUGAAAGCUCCGGCGGAUAGAGAUGGGCACGCGCAAGAUUAGCUAGUUGGUGAGGUAACGGCUCACCAAGGCGAUGAUCUUUAGGGGGCCUGAGAGGGUGAUCCCCCACACUGGUACUGAGACACGGACCAGACUCCUACGGGAGGAAGCAGUGAGGAAUAUUGGUCAAUGGGUGCAAGCCUGAACCAGCCAUCCCGCGUGAAGGACGACUGCCCUAUGGGUUGUAAACUUCUUUUGUAUAGGGAUAAACCUACCCUCGAGAGGGUAGCUGAAGGUACUAUACGAAUAAGCACCGGCUAACUCCGUG